GGGUUGUAAACUUCUUUUAUAAAGGAAUAAAGUCGGGUAUGCAUACCCGUUUGCAUGUACUUUAUGAAUAAGGAUCGGCUAACUCCGUGCCAGCAGCCGCGGUAAUACGGAGGAUCCGAGCGUUAUCCGGAUUUAUUGGGUUUAAAGGGAGCGUAGAUGGAUGUUUAAGUCAGUUGUGAAAGUUCGCGGCUCAACCGUAAAAUUGCAGUUGAUACUGGAUGUCUUGAGUGCAGUUGAGGCAGGCGGAAUUCGUGGUGUAGCGGUGAAAUGCUUAGAUAUCACGAAGAACUCCGAUUGCGAAGGCAGCCUGCUAAGCUGCAACUGACAUUGAGGCUCGAAAGUGUGGGUAUCAAACAGGAUUAGAUACCCUGGUAGUCCACACGGUAAA
rnacentral:rRNA from 1 species